GUCUACGGCCAUACCACCCUGAACGCGCCCGAUCUCGUCUGAUCUCGGAAGCUAAGCAGGGUAGGACCUGGUUAGUACUUGGAUAGGAGAAAAUAUAUUCCACAAAAUCAUAGAAG
rnacentral:rRNA from 1 species